GUCUGACUGUUGCCCUCAUGGGGGCAGCCAUGACAGAUACAGGAGCUCCGCUGCCCUGUCUGGCUGCCCCUGCUGCACCCUCACUUACCAGGGGAAAGUGGGCCCUGGUCAUGUUCUCCACUACCUGGCGGAGGAUGGCAGUGGAGGAGUAACCCCAGCGGCACAGGUGAAAGCCCAGGCCCCAGUACGGCGGCAUGAAGGGGUGCCCUGCAGGCCAACAGCACUGCCUCUGCUCCAGGAGCAGCACCCGUCCUGCACGACCACGCACCUCCUGUGUGUGCAUGAACCUGGGUCAUCCUCUCUGAGCCUUGGGUUCAUCAUCUACACUGCCAGAAGG